UGGGAGUGAACAUCCACCCCCAACAUUUGGGUCAUGAAAUUGGAAGAGUAAAGGCAAAUAAUCUCUUCUUUCAUCCGUCUUGAGCAUCAUAUAGACAAACAAUGGUUACCAACUGCAAAGUCGGUGAACCUAAUCGGCAAUUUUGGGAUUCCAAAUUUGAGAGUUUAGUGAAACGCUGCUCUAAUAUGCUUCUCCUGAUCAAAGGCGACAAAAUUGGCUGAUGCAUAUGGUUUGUGUUUAUGUUUUCUGUUUCAAUCAGUUUUGGCAAGUUGACAAGUAAAAGAAGAUGAUAAGUUGACUUGUAAAAGAAGAUGGCAUGAAGACAAGUUAAAGAAGGUGGCAAGUUGUAUCUUCUUUUGGUUGAUUUUGCUUUAUUGUUCAGUUUGUUUAAUUAUGACAAGUUAAACAAAUUUGAAUUUUCCAAAUAAUAUUUCAAUUUUUUUAA